CUGACUGUGCUAAGGUAGCAUAAUCAUUUGUUAUUUAAUUGGUAUCUGGAAUAAAAGAUUAGACGAGAGGUACGCUAUCUUUAUGGCCAUUUGAAUUUAGAAAAGAAAUAAAAAUAUCUCUAAAAAUUAGAAGGACGACAAGACCCUAGAACCUUAAAUUUACUGGGGCGGUAAACUUUUAUUAACAUAGUUUUUAAACCCACCUUGAGUGUUAACCUCUACUUUUUUUUAAAAAAAAAAAUUAGGUACUCUAGGGAUAACAGCAUAAUUACUUUUAAGAGUCCUUAUCGAAAAAGUAGCUUAUGACCUCGAUGUUGAAUUGAAUUCUCUUAUUG
rnacentral:rRNA from 1 species